AGUGAACGCUGGCGGUAGGCCUAACACAUGCAAGUCGAACGGCAGCACAAGAGAGCUUGCUCUCUGAUUCAGCGGCGGACGGGUGAGUAAUGCCUAGGAAUCUGCCUGGUAGUGGGGGACAACGUUUCGAAAGGAACGCUAAUACCGCAUACGUCCUACGGGAGAAAGCAGGGGACCUUCGGGCCUUGCGCUAUCAGAUGAGCCUAGGUCGGGUUAGCUAGUAGGUGGGGUAAAGGCUCACCUAGGCGACGAUCCGUAACUGGUCUGAGAGGAUGAUCAGUCACACUGGAACUGAGACACGGUCCAGACUCCUACGGGAGGCAGCAGUGGGGAAUAUUGGACAAUGGGCGAAAGCCUGAUCCAGCCAUGCCGCGUGUGUGAAGAAGGUCUUCGGAUUGUAAAGCACUUUAAGUUGGGAGGAAGGGCAGUAAGCUAAUACCUUGCUGUUUUGACGUUACCAACAGAAUAAGCACCGGCUAACUUCGUGCCAGCAGCCGCAGUAAGAC
rnacentral:rRNA from 1 species